UCCUAAGCUAAGAUACUUAGAAAUAUCUAUCUCUAGGAGAGUGUCUCUAACAUCCAACACUUUUAUUACAUACUUUCACUUUUUCAGUUCAGUCGCCGGAGUUCUCUCCCUGCGCCGCCGCAGCAAUGUCCUCCACCACCGCAUCCGGCGACGGUACUCCAUCCCUCCACUUCGAUACGCCGACGCUGGACCGGGAGUUAGCGGCGCUUCUCCACUCCAUUUCCGAGCACGGCGGGUACGCGUACGUGAGCAUGGCAGCGCUGGCGGCCGGGGGCGACAUUCGCGCGGCGGAGGCGGCGUGUGAGAUGGCGUGGGAGCAGCUGCACUCUGGGCCUUGGCACUCGGUGCUGCCGGUGUGGCGCGACGCGUACUCCAUGGCUUGCCUCCACGUGGCUCGACACCACUAUGGCAACGGGGAGUUCAGGGAGGCGCUUAGGGUUUUAGAUUUGGGAAUCAUCAUGGGAGGGACGCUCCUUCGCAAGGAUUUGGACUCCGCCGUCGCGAAAGUGUCGGAACAAGCUCGAAGGACCGUUAGGGUUUCUGAACUGGGAGACUCGGGACACCGGUUCGUCGAUCGGGACUUUAAUAUGGCAGAGGUGCUCCAACUUUUACCAAUUAAGUCUCUUUCUUCUACGCUUGUGGUCAAGAAAUCAGCGCUGUCGUUGGAUAAAUUCCUAAAGGAUCAUUACCUGUCUCGCUCUCCGGUUAUUAUCAGAGAUUGUAUGGCUCACUGGCCAGCCAGCUCGAAAUGGAAUGAUGAAGAUUACUUGUUGAGAGUUGCCGGUGACCGCACAGUUCCGGUUGAGCGUUUUUUCCAGGUUGGAAAAAACUAUUUAUGUGCUGAAUGGAAGCAAGAGCUGAUUACUUUUUCAGAAUUUAUUCAGCGGAUAAAGUCUGGUGCCUGUUCUCUUGGUGGUCCUACUUAUCUUGCUCAGCAUCCAUUAUUUGAACAGAUAAAUGAGCUGCGGAAAGAUAUUUUUAUUCCUGACUAUUGUUUUGCUGGUGGAGGGGAGCUACGAUCUCUCAAUGCUUGGUUUGGUCCAGCAGGAACAGUGACACCAUUACACCAUGAUCCGCAUCAUAACAUACUAGCUCAGGUUGUUGGAAAAAAAUACAUUAGGCUUUACUCGUCAUCUUUGUCUGAGGAACUUUCCCCCCACUCUGGUACCAUGCUCAGCAAUUCCAGCCAGAACUUCCUUCACAAAGGCAUCAAUUCACCUUGGCGGCUUUUCCUUUUCAUGAUGAGAACAUGUUCAUGUGAUAAGUCUCCCUCAUCAAUAUUAAGAAAUUGCAUUGAUAAUACAGACAUACCCCAGCAAAGUAGAUAGCACAUAUUUGAAGAAAUUGUACAUUUCUUUCUCCAUCAGAUGGGUCCCCCUAAAGAUGUAUCAGAGUAAAGAGGGAGUAAUUAUGGUGCAAGAUUUUGCUUAGGAAAGAUUAUUUGUUAUGAAAGGAAGGAAAUGUGGGACCACACUAAGGUGAUGUUAUGUGGCACGGGCUCACAAAAGCAUUAGACAAAUGUGGCAUUGCAGUAGGAAUCCAUUUAGCAUUAUUGCAGAAGAAUUCUGAAAACAUAGUUGGGAAACUCUUUUGUUUCUUUGCAGAGAGAAGAUGAGCAUGAGCCUGGUUUGUAGAUUUGUGUGCAUGAGGAUUGCUUCUCUUUCAUUAUCAGUGAUGGUCACACAGCCUUGGCUGAAAGAUACAAGUGAUAUGAAUUCCGCGUCUCUUGCGGGGAACAAAAGAGGAAGUUGUAAAGAAAGGAACCAAACCGAAUGUGGUCCUCUUUGUUCAGUAUAUAAAAUGACAACACCACCUCAACUCACCUUUUUAUAUGUGUCUUCUCUUUCUUUCUUCUUCUUAUUUUUAUCCUUUAUUUCCGGUGGCUUCAAUGUGGAGAAUCUAUGACUGUGUACGUAAUAACAUAAUAUAAGAAAAUCUACAC